UACGUAGGUGACAAGCGUUGUCCGGAUUUACUGGGCGUAAAGAGCGCGCAGGCGGUCGUUCAAGUCGAGUGUGAAAGCCCCCGGCUCAACUGGGGAGGGUCACUCGAUACUGAUCGACUCGAAGGCAGGAGAGGGAAGUGGAAUUCCCGGUGUAGUGGUGAAAUGCGUAGAUAUCGGGAGGAACACCAGUGGCGAAGGCGGCUACCUGGCCCACUCUUGACGCUGAGGCGCGAAAGCUAGGGGAGCAAACGGG
rnacentral:rRNA from 1 species